UCGGCGAAAUGGGUUGCUCCGCGGAAGCGUCAGCGAGCGGUUCUGUAGGUCCCGGUGGGGCAGAGCGGUCAGGUGCAGGCCCCGAGAGGCCCGUGCAGACCCACGCACCCGCCGGGCCUCCCAUCCUUCCGGUUGCUGGACCGUCAGGCCGACGCCCAUCAGGACGUUAGGCCAGGUAACCCCUAUUCCCAGCUGUACGAGCCUGCAGGAAUAGAAUUCGUCUCCCCAUCUUUCUCCCCCGGUCCAGUUCGCCUCCUUUUCGUCUUCGCUGCUCGCGCACAAGCAGUCAGGAUCCACAGGUGGAGGCCCCAGCGCGCCCCGGUUCGCCCGGCAACAGUGACGUCAUGACUCCACCGCCGAGAAUUGGCUGCCGGAGCCUCCGGGGGCGGAGAAGAGGCGGCAGCAUCCGCACCCACCGUUUGCCCGGCAACAGUGACGUCAUGAAUGCGCCGCCGACAAUUGGCUGCCUGAGCCGGGGGCGAAGAAGAGGCGGCAGCAUCCGCAGGCGGAGGCCGGAGCUUGUCUGGGGUUUGCCCGGCAACGGUGACGUCAAGUCCCCCGGCUGAGAACCGGCUGCCGAGCCUCUGGGGGCGGAGGAGAAGCGGCGCAUUCGCAGGUGAGAGCCGCGCGGGGUCCGGUCCAGGUCGGCACCCCCUCCCGGUCUCCCCGCCGCGUCUCGGCCAGGACGCCGCGCACCCACCGGGCAGCAGCCCCUAACCCCGGGCCCGCCGGUCUCCACGGGACUGCGCGACGCUGUGGAACAUUUUGGAACCGGGCAGCGGUCCUUCUGCCUGUCCUGUCGCUGCCUGGCAGUUACAGUCUUUCCCAGCAGAGAACACUGCGUGGGGGACCGUCGUCCUCUUGCAGCUCUGGCCCGGGAGUCCCGGUCCGGCAACUGGACGACCCUGCGUCCACACCCGGACGGUGCAUAGAAGCUUGCACCUGAGCGUCGGAUUAAAAUUCCAGCCUCGGUUUCGCUAACUGUGGCCCGGGGUCUGUCUCCCCACCCCCACCCCGUGGGCUUGACGUGCGCAGUAAAGGAGACCCGGGGCACGUGGUGCUCGGCCGUGCCCGUCCUGCCCCUGCACCCUUUGGGACCAUCCCAGCCGCCGCUGUGCACAAAAAGUGGGGCCGGGGAGCAGGACUUUGUCUCCUAGGCGGUUACUGACUUGCUGGCACCCCACAAGCCUAAGCAGCUCAGUUAGCCAGCUACUGUCAUUUCCUUCACCGGGAUCCUGCUUCUUAAGAAGCCAGUAAGAGCUGAUGGGGACGGUUACCAGCAGGGACCUGCUUCUUAGGGGAAAUGCUCGAUUUUGGACGGGACCGAAGGCUUGCCUGGUCACUGGCGCCAUCUACUGGUUACACUGACUUACUGCUCCGACGAGGGACCGUGGCCGGCGCAGGGUCCCCCGACCUGCCUGAAGAUCAGUGGCAGGUGAGACCGCGCAGGGGCCGUCCCUGAAGUUUGCCCACGACUUACACUUACUGGCCUAUUGACCCACCGAUGAAGUCUUGUUCGAGGACCCUCUGCUGUGUAACAUCCUGAAUCAAGUGCCAGUCGGGGGAGGAAAUACUGUUUUGCCCUCAUGUGGUUUUUAACGUCCUCAAAACGGCUUUCUAUGGUUGUCCCUGUCCCUUACAGUAAGGUGCAAUCAAUAAGUGGAUCCAAUAGUUGUACUGGGAGGAGGAUACUGAGGCCAGCAGAGCUGAGAGGAGCCCAAGGUGGGCCAGACCCAGCAGCCCGAGCUGCAGGUGCCGACGGGCCCUCUGCCAGGCAUGCGAGCUGGGUGGGGCAGAGGGGCACAGGCUUGCUUUAUUCCUGGUGUUUCGUCGGGAACCAUGACCUAGUGGUUCCCUAGCCUUCCUCCACCAUUUCUUUAUCUUUUGUUGUGGUUUCUAUAUCUUCUUAUUUCUUGCCCCAGCUUGAACUCUGUUUGGAGAUGUGAUUUUUAGCAACAAAGCUAAAUUUAUGCACAAUUCAUUUCUGUUAUUAAUUGAAUAUAUUUUAUUUUUU